rnacentral:rRNA from 1 species
CAGACGCUGGCGGCAGGCUUAACACAUGCAAGUCGAGCGCCCCGCAAGGGGAGCGGCAGACGGGUGAGUAACGCGUGGGAAUCUACCCUUUUCUACGGAAUAACGCAGGGAAACUUGUGCUAAUACCGUAUGAGCCCUUCGGGGGAAAGAUUUAUCGGGAAAGGAUGAGCCCGCGUUGGAUUAGCUAGUUGGUGGGGUAAAGGCCUACCAAGGCGACGAUCCAUAGCUGGUCUGAGAGGAUGAUCAGCCACAUUGGGACUGAGACACGGCCCAAACUCCUACGG